rnacentral:rRNA from 1 species
CAGUCUUAACGAUGGAUGUCUUGGUUCCUACAGCGAUGAAGGCCACAGCAAAAUGUGAUAUGCAAUGAAAAAUGCAAUAACUGUGAAUCAUCGGAACGCUGAAUGUAAACAAAACUAAUUCAUGAAAUAUUUGAAUGUAGUAUACUCCUAUUUUUAUUAG